rnacentral:rRNA from 1 species
CCUACGGGGGGCUUCAGUGGGGAAUAUUGGACAAUGGGCGAAAGCCUGAUCCAGCCAUGCCGCGUGUGUGAAGAAGGCCUUCGGGUUGUAAAGCACUUUCAGUGGGGAAGAAAGCCUUGGGGCUAAUACCCUCGAGGAAGGACAUCACCCACAGAAGAAGCACCGGCUAACUCCGUGCCAGCAGCCGCGGUAAUACGGAGGGUGCGAGCGUUAAUCGGAAUUACUGGGCGUAAAGCGGGCGUAGGCGGUCUGAUAAGCCGGUUGUGAAAGCCCCGGGCUCAACCUGGGAACGGCAUCCGGAACUGUCAGGCUAGAGUGCAGGAGAGGAAGGUAGAAUUCCCGGUGUAGCGGUGAAAUGCGUAGAGAUCGGGAGGAAUACCAGUGGCGAAGGCGGCCUUCUGGACUGACACUGACGCUGAGGUGCGAAAGCGUGGGUAGCAAACAGGAUUAGAUACCCGAGUAGUC